rnacentral:rRNA from 1 species
ACCAGACUCCUACGGGAGGCAGCAGUGGGGAAUAUUGCACAAUGGGGGAAACCCUGAUGCAGCGACGCCGCGUGGGUGAAGAAGUAUUUCGGUAUGUAAAGCCCUCUCAGCAGGGAAGAAAGAAGACGGUACCUGACUAAGAAGCCCCGGCUAACUACGUGCCAGCAGCCGCGGUAAUACGUAGGGGGCGAGCGUUAUCCGGAUUCACUGGGUGUAAAGGGAGCGUAGACGGCCGUGCAAGCCAGGAGUGAAAGCCCGGGGCCCAACCCCGGGACUGCUCUUGGAACUGUGCGGCUGGAGUGCGGGAGGGGCAGGCGGAAUUCCUGGUGUAGCGGUGAAAUGCGUAGAUAUCAGGAGGAACACCGGCGGCGAAGGCGGCCUGCUGGACCGCGACUGACGUUGAGGCUCGAAAGCGUGGGGAGCGAACAGGAUUAGAUACCCCCGUAGG